ensembl:lncRNA
CACUGAGCCAAAUCCCUGGCCCUAUUUCUUUUUUUUUUUUUUUUUUUUUUUGGUACCAGGGAUCAAACUCAGGACCUUGCGCUUUUGAGGCAAGCAGUGGAACCACUGAGCUAAAACCCCGGCCCAAAUGCUCAUUUUCUCAUGGAGCUUCCUUAUUUUUUUGAUACUGGGAAUUGAACUCAGGACCUUGCACUUGACAGGCAGGCACCGGAACCACUGAGCUACAUCCCCAGGCCUGGAGCUUCCUUUUUUUAUGUUUGUUUAUUCUGAAGAGUUGCUUGUGAAUUCUUGGGUGAUUGCAAAUAACUCCUAGAACAGCACUUUGUGUAUGUAGGGCUAUCUUUCACUGAACAUUCUUGAUUUUUUUUCUGCCCAGUACCAGGGAUCAAACUCAGGACCUUGCGCUUGUGAGGCAGGUGCAGCGCCACUGAGCUCAUCUCCAACCCCUAUUCUUUGUUUGUUUUGGUACCAGGGAUCGAACUUGGGUCCUUGUGCUUGUGCAGCAGGCGGCGAAACCACUGAACUACAUCCCCGGCCCCCCUAUUCUUGAUUUUAAUGUAGACAAAUUAACCAUUUUGUUAUAAAGUUUUUGCAUUUCACUGUCUUAUUUAAAGAUAUUAACAGAAGAAAAGUUAGCUUGGUGGUUUUUCCUCUCCUGUUGAGGUCACUGAAUAAGGCUGAAGUCCAGCUAGGACACUGUGAUAUGGACUGGCUGGCAGCUGUUCUGGAGGUCAAACAUUGGGUUCUCACUGGCCAAUACCAAGCCAUAUUGGCUGCUAAAUAGGGAGCCUCGCUUUUAUAGGAGGUUUUUUUGUUUGUUUUUUUUGUUACUGGGGAUCAAACUCGCUUGCAAGGCAGGCGGCAUAACCACUGAGCUAAAUCCCUGGCCCCUGGAGCUUCACUUUUAUUUUAUUGUAUUUUAUUUUUUCGGUACCGGGGAUCGAACUUGGGUCCUUGUGUUUACACAGCAGAUGGCGAAACCACUGAGCUAAAUGCCUGGCCCAAGCCUCACUUUUAAAUGAUUUAAAAUGUACCUACCUUUUUUUAUGUGAAACCAAGUUUUUUUUCUUUUUUUAAACCUUAUAGCGAGCCAGUUUUAUCAGUUUUGUCUACUAAAACCAUUAAUCGUCCACUGACAGUGGUAUAAUUUUAGCAAAGGUAUGUUGACUUCAUAGUAAAAUUUUAUUGGAAUGUGGGAUUCCUUUGCAUUUUAAAACAUUUAAAUAAUUCAUGAUAUGUCCUAGCUCUUCCUGUUUUCAGAUCUUUUGAGCCCAUUGAUAAGCAUGUACAUAAUCAUAUGUACUCCAUCUCAGCAGAAUAAAUGGUAAUACACUCC